rnacentral:rRNA from 1 species
CCUACGGGGCGCUGCAGUGGGGAAUAUUGGACAAUGGGCGAAAGCCUGAUCCAGCCAUGCCGCGUGUGUGAAGAAGGCCUUCGGGUUGUAAAGCACUUUCAGUGGGGAAGAAAGCCUUGGGGCUAAUACCCUCGAGGAAGGACAUCACCCACAGAAGAAGCACCGGCUAACUCCGUGCCAGCAGCCGCGGUAAUACGGAGGGUGCGAGCGUUAAUCGGAAUUACUGGGCGUAAAGCGCGCGUAGGCGGUCUGAUAAGCCGGUUGUGAAAGCCCCGGGCUCAACCUGGGAACGGCAUCCGGAACUGUCAGGCUAGAGUGCAGGAGAGGAAGGUAGAAUUCCCGGUGUAGCGGUGAAAUGCGUAGAGAUCGGGAGGAAUACCAGUGGCGAAGGCGGCCUUCUGGACUGACACUGACGCUGAGGUGCGAAAGCGUGGGUAGCAAACAGGAUUAGAUCCCUGGUAGU